rnacentral:rRNA from 1 species
UACGUAGGGCGCAAGCGUUGUCCGGAAUUAUUGGGCGUAAAGAGCUCGUAGGCGGCCAGUUGCGUCUGCUGUGAAAUCCCGGGGCUCAACCCCGGGCGUGCAGUGGAUACGGGCUGGCUAGAGGCAGGCAGGGGAGAACGGAAUUCCCGGUGUAGCGGUAGAAUGCGCAGAUAGUCGGGAGGAACACCGGUGGCGAAGGCGGUUCUCUGGGCCUGUACUGACGCUGAGGAGCGAAAGCGUGGGGAGCGAACAGG